CAGGUCAUAAUGGAGUCAAUCUGUCUGAUAGGGCUAAACUUUUCCUGCUGGUUUUGUCUGUCUCGGUUUCAUUUCUUCUUGGAAGUCUGAGCGCUCUUAGGAUGAAUUUGUCUUCAUCAGAUCCUGACAGAGAACUGAUGGAAAACUACAGCAGAAUUCAAGACCAUCUCUCUCCUUAUCAUGACACUGUCUGUAGAUGGAAAAGUGACUACAUCAUCAGACUGAUUCAGUUCUACAAGUUCAAGUAAGAGUUUAAUGUUUUUAUGUAAGACUUUGGUAAUUACAGACGUCUUUAAAGGAAAACACCACUGUUUUUCAAUAUUUUACUAUGUUCUUAGCUCAACUUAGAUGAAUUAAUGCAUACCUGUC